rnacentral:misc_RNA from 1 species
GCAUAUUCUUCUUUUUAAGUCGACAUUUGUCCAUUUUUGGCAAAACCAUGACAAUAGUUCCAAUUCUUCUAGUGAAAUUGUUCUCUAACUAAUCUAUUAUUUGUAGUGAUGGAUACUGAUACAAUUGAAGAAAUCAGAAGUAUGAAAACGGACAGGCGGAAGAUACCAAGCCACUGGGAGUAUCAAAUUAAGGUGCCUGAACUUCAGCCAUCCAUGUCAUUGAGCGACCUUGUGAACAACCAUGGACAACGCAUUUCAGAACAGAUGAUAUCUGGCAAUCCUAAAAUUUCUCAUGGUGAUCCAAAGAACGGUGACAUUCUAGAGGAGAUCACUCGAUACUUGCUUAGGGACUCUCAACUUACACCAGCAUCAGAUGAGCAGCACCUCA